UUUGAAAUUUUGUCCCCUACAUUUUUAAAAAUUGUGUUUUCAAUGGUUUUUUUUUUUCAUUUUUCAUUUUUUUGAACAGGUUUAUAUUCCAUUGCAUUGGUGAAAGGUCGACCAGCUGUUGCGGAGGAAGACGGUGACGAUGACGAUGAUGACGAUGACGAUAACAAUGGCGGUGGCGGUGGUGGCGAAGAAGAAUCGGAUGAAGAUGACGAUCCUGAUUGUAAAAAUUCAUCAUUUUCCUCAUACUUUUACCUAUAAUGUUACAUGCCAUAUACAGAAUUUUUAUCAUUUGCAGCUGACGCCGAAAGUAUCAUUUAUUCACCAGGUACCUACCUACCUUAGAAAUUUCGAAUCUUACAAAUUCGAUAUAAAUUUUCAAACUCCUUAUCUAUACGUAUCUACUGUAUUCACACUACUGAAAAAAUCUUAUUUUCAUAAAUAUUUUUAAUAUGCUUGUAGAUAAUCACGGAACUGCGGGCGAUAGUAAGAAAUUUUGAUCUAUUUUUUUAAAUAUGAGUACACUCUUUUCCAUAGGUACGUACCUAAAGGUAUGCGGGUAUAAAGAACUGCUUCAAUGUAAGAUUCCUUUUUACUUCAAUACUUGUUUUAAUUUCACUUACUUAUGCAAAAAGCCCAUAAUCCUCAAACUAAGUGUAAUAAUUAGGCAUAACUCACCUAAUAAUUAAAAUUUGUGACUUGAAAAUGUUUU